CUCUUAUCCUACCUCUAGUGGCUUUGUCAGACCUGCUCUCAAAAGUCCAGGCCUGACCAACCUCUGGGGUUUCUGCUCUGUGCAGUUAGCAGACUCCUCUGAGCCUGUCACUUGACCAGAAAACUAGACCAAGGAAAAAGCCCAUGAACUCAGAGACAAAAAUACAAACACCUAAGAUCUUAAGAAACCCCAGAUCAAAAGAGGACAGAAGCACGCCUGAGCUUGGUUCCUGUGAAGAGACCUCAGUGGGCAGACGGCAGUUCUUGUGUUGUGCUUUCGUAUUCCAGCUUGUUAGUAAUUCCAUUCAUACUGUGAUUUGUUUUUUUUUGUUUUUGUUUUUGUUUUUUUUUUAAGCAAAUUGUUUUGGUGCAAUAUUUUGUUGUCUUUGAGUCUCAGGAUAUUCAGACCUACAGGACUGUGUUACUGCUGGCAGGGUCAGCCAUGUUACCAGCCUCCUCCCUCUGUUCACAGUCACAUGCUCAGUUGUUUUGCCUGCAGCCUGUUGGUCCCACGAACCGAGCACACUUCUGACACCAGGUGGGAGGGAGACUCUCACAGUCGAGAUCUGGACAAGCCAAAUCCUAAGGGUUCGAUUUAGAAACCCUGGUGCUUCCCAGGCAGAAUGCUGUGCCGCUUCCAUUGUGGUGAUGGACUUACCUUUUAAUCACCAUGUCCCCUCAGACACAUUCUUCUAGAGUGGAAUUUUAUAUCAAAGUCAGUGGGUCAUUUGUUCAGGGAUUUUGUACCAAUGUUUGGUAAAUGUGUACUCCCUGUUGAGCAUACCUCUUCUGUGAUCAUCUUAGCGUCCAGUACGUGUGUUUCACUGUAUGCCAUCGUCAAAAAUGCCAAGUGGUAUUGCCAAUAAUUGUGGUAUGGGAAUUACCACAAGUCCUUAUUUCUCAUUUUGGUUUUUAGAGAUUUCUUUCUGUUGUGUAUCUGUAACAGUUACAAUUGUUCAAAUUUCAUAUAAACUGCUUUUAUGUUUGCCAUGGAAAAGAUGGUGAGCUGUCUUUUGGCUUCCGGCCUGUAGUUUACUUGCUAUGUCAAGUCAUGGUCCAUCUAUGAAACCAAAAUGAAGGGAAAGAAAGCAACAGUACCAAGUGGACAGAGUAGAUCAGCCAUGGCAGUCAGUUUGGUUAGAGAAA
rnacentral:lncRNA from 1 species